AACAAGAUCUUGCUCAUUUUAUACAUAAAUAAUUUCGCUGCAAUCUGAAUUACAUUCUCAUAUAAUCAGACAAGAUCACAUAGAUGCGUUCAACUAGGAAAAAUAUUGAUUAAAUAAAUAAGUACUUUAUUUCCAUCUGUUUUUACUUUUUAACUCCAUGGUUCUGAGCAUGGAAACUAUUCAAAAUAGACAUCCAAUCUGUCAUAUUUGUGCAACACUUCAACUUUUUCGGAAUAAUUACUAAUAUUUUAUUUUGUACUUCGAGUAAAAAUUCCACGUACUAAGAGACCUUCAAAAGUAGAUAUUGCUCUACACAAAACAGAUGAAGAGAAAAAACAGGAACGAAAAAGAAAAACUACUGUGUAAUUAGAAAAGAAAACACCAUGCUAUAUCAAUCCAAUGAAUAAUAGCUAUUUCUCUGCCAUAUAUAUCAAUCACCUAAAAACAUCAUAUCCAUAUAGAUCAUACUAUGGCAAGGCAAAUAAUGAAUGCCAACACUGUGGUGCUGUGUUCUAGUAUGAAGAAAGAAAAAAAUCUGUUCACACAAAGGUUACAUAUAGUUCAUGCUGCAAGGAAGGGAAGAUUAAACUCCCACCUUUUAACAAUCCCCCGGAAAUCUACAACAGAUACUCUCUAAUUUACACAAUGUUCAAAUAUUUCUGGCUCCAAAACGACCAAAUAAUUGUACUUUGAAACUUUCUAAUGUUGAAAUUCAUUUGACAGGAUGAAUUACUAAUUGUGUGCCAAAAUAAUUUGAGCCUCACCAAUUAUUUCUGCAGAUAGCCAUUAUAAGGAAAACAUCUACUGCUGCUACAAUGAUGUAUGAACAUGAGAAAGCAAGAUGUUAUUCUGAAGACACCGCUGCUAGGAAAUGGCUGAGGAAACGAGGUUUUGCAGUUUUGUUGUUCUGAAUAGCGGCAAGCUAUGCAAUACGCUGGUUCACUCAAUCAAUAUAUUAAAUAUUACUUGGCAAAUCUGCCUGAUACACUGCUUCUCCUAAAAAAGUAUUCUUGAUGCUUA